AUCCGGAGGUAAAGCACUGAAUGGCCUAGCGUCCGAGAGGAUAGCGAAGCCUAUCAAACUAAGAAUGCCGGAAUAUUGAUGCAUGGGAGUCAGACAGUGUGAGAUAAAUCUCAUUGUCAAAAGGGAAACAGCCCAGAUCUACAGCUAAGGUCCCAAAUUGUAUCUAAGUGGAAAACGAUGUGGAAAUACGCAGACAACCAGGAUGUUGGCUCAGAAGCAGCCACUCAUUUAAAGAGUGCGUAAUAGCUCACUGGUCGAGCGUCUCUGCGCGGAAAAUUUAACGGGGCUAAGAUACAAACCGAAGCUUAGGCUGCAUACGGAAGUAUGCGGGGUAGGGGAGCGUUGUGUAAGCGGAGAAACAGUAGCGGAAGCGGCUGUGGAGUUUACAGAAGUGAGAAUGCCGGAAUGAGUAGCGCGAAUGAUGUGAGAAUCAUCAUGGCCGGAAACCUCAGGUUUUUGGAGGAAGGUUCGUCCGCUCCAAGUUAGGCGGGAGCUAAGGUGAGGCCGAAAGGCGUAGCCGAUGCACAGACGGUAGAGAUUCCGUCCCCACCGAAAGAUUUAAGCGCAGGGACACUUUUAGAAGGUCGGAGCCAGGUGUUGGUUCUGGUAGAGAUCGAGGGAAGAUUAGUACCGAAGUCCGGCUGGAUAAGAGGCGAGAAAAGCUGCGUGUAUAUCUAAGGUGCCCGUACCGCAAACCGACACAGGUAGGUAGGAAGAAGAUUCUAAGGCCAACGGGAGAAGGGUUGUUAAGGAACUCGGCAAGUUGACCCCGUAACUUCGGAAUAAGGGGUGCUCAUGAAAGUGAGCCGCAGAGAAUAGGCCCAGGCAACUGUUUACCAAAAACACAGGUUUGUGCUAAAUCGAAAGAUGACGUAUACGAGCUGACGCCUGCCCGGUGCUGGAAGGUUAAAAGGAGAUGUGCAAGCAUUGAAUUGAAGCCCCAGUGAACGGCGGCCGUAACUAUAACGGUCCUAAGGUAGCGAAAUUCCUUGUCAGGUAAGUUCUGACCCGCAUGAAAGGCGUAAUGAUCUGGGCACUGUCUCAACAGCCCGCCCGGCGAAAUUGUAGUACCGGUGAAGAUGCCGGUUACCCGCGACAAGACGGAAAGACCCCAUGGAGCUUUACUGUAGCCUAAUAUUGGGUUUCGGUGUUGCAUGCACAGGAUAGAUGGGACGCUGGGAAGUGAGUGCUUUGGCAUUCAUGGAGCGGCCGUUGGGAUACCAUCCUUGCGACAUUGGAAUUCUAACCUGCGCCUUUGAAUCAAGGCGGGGGACAUUGUUAGGUGGGCAGUUUGACUGGGGCGGU
rnacentral:rRNA from 1 species